rnacentral:rRNA from 1 species
UACGGAGGGUGCAAGCGUUAUCCGGAUUCACUGGGUUUAAAGGGCGCGUAGGCGGGUUGGUAAGUCAGUGGUGAAAUCUCCGGGCUUAACCUGGAAACUGCCAUUGAUACUAUCAAUCUUGAAUACCUUGGAGGUGAGCGGAAUAUGUCAUGUAGCGGUGAAAUGCUUAGAUAUGACAUAGAACACCAAUUGCGAAGGCAGCGCACUGGGCGGUCAUUGACACUGAGGCACGAAAGCGUGGGGAUCAAACAGG